GGAGAGAUGUCCGAGUGGUUUAAGGUGCACGCUUGGAAAGCGUGUGUAGAUCAAAAGUCUACCGGGAGUUCGAAUCUCCCUCUCUCCGCCA
rnacentral:tRNA from 1 species